UACGUAGGCGGACUAGUAAGUAUCUUGUGAAAUCCCAUGGCUCAACCAUGGAACUGCUGGGUAUACUGCUAGUCUUGAGAUUGGUAGGGGCUGCUGGAACUCUAGGUGGAGCGGUGAUAUGCAUAGAUAUCUAGAGGAACGUCAAAGGCGAAGGCAAGCAGCUGGGCCAAUUCUGACGCUGAGGUACGAAAGCGUGGGGAGCGAACAGGAUUAGAUACCCUGGUAGUCC
rnacentral:rRNA from 1 species